UACGGAGGGUGCGAGCGUUGUCCGGAAUCACUGGGCGUAAAGGGCGCGUAGGCGGCAUGCCAAGCGUGUGGUGAAAGCCCGGGGCUCAACCCCGGGUCGGCCGUGCGGACUGGCGUGCUCGAGCUCUGUAGGGGCGGGUGGAAUUCCGGGUGUAGCGGUGGAAUGCGUAGAGAUCCGGAAGAACACCGGUGGCGAAGGCGGCCCGCUGGGCAGGAAGGCUCGCAAGAGCCGGCUGACGCUGAGGCGCGACAGCGUGGGGAGCAAACAGG
rnacentral:rRNA from 1 species